rnacentral:lncRNA from 1 species
UGAUCUUGUAAGGGAUGUUGACACCGCACUUGCCUGGGAGUCCGCUUGCAAUACCAUAGUUGAUGCCAGAAAUGCCGGCGGCCGCACUUUUGAUGCAUUUGCAAGCUGCUUGCCGGUCUGGUGUUGUUUGGGCGGCGGAGUUGAGAGAUUUUAUGCCGCCGCAGCAACCUGGGGGAACGCCACCAGCACCAUUCCCUGUCAAGUAACCAAUGCAGGGUGCGAGGGAGCUUGUGACUUGACCACAGGUUACGGCCCCUUGAGCCAGGGGUGCACCCACCACCAUGCACAACACCGCCACACAUGCAAGCUUAAGGGACAUUGAGCUAGCCAUAUCGAUUAAUCACAAGAAAAACAAACUUGUAAGGAAAAUGCUUGCUUGGAGUAGUAGUACUAUUGCUGAUUGUCGUGGUUAGGGCUUGAGGGUAGGAGGGUUUUUAUAGCCAAAAGUAGUAGCGGGUGAUGUCUGAAUUUUACUUUCCUAGCUAUUAGGUAAGUUGAGAUUAUCCGAUCCAAACAUUAACACACCACAUUAAAAGUUGAGACCAUUCAAUUAGGUUCAACUGCCAACCUACGUGAUUAUUGUUUUCUUUCAAUACAAUUAAAACCAGCGUCCAUUUGAUUUCACUCAAUCAUGCCUCCACAGCUAGGACUCAAAUAUUGGUUUAACUUUUUUCUAGGUGUUUUCUUAUAAACAUGAGAUUUACAUUUGAUGUAUUUAUAACUGCAUUUAUUGUCAGAAUGAUACCAUUUUAUUAAAAGUAAUUUGAUUUAUAAUUGUUUGUAUAUAUACUUUUAUAUAUUAAGUCUUUAAUUGAAUUGGUAUUACGAUUCACCCAAGCAUCUAUUUAAUUGAAAAUUUGUUAAAAUAUUCAUAUAACAAAUAUUAAUAUAAAUGUAUUUUUAUUUUUAUUAUAAAUAAAACUAUAAUAAGAUUUAAACUUAUGACUCAUAAAUUUUACUCUUUUUAACUUAACUAUUUCAACUAAAAUUUUAUUUAGUUUUAAUAUAAAUUUUUAUAAAUAUAUUAUUUACAUGAAUUUUCCUUUUCCAGGCGGUAUGCCAUGGAACUAAUAUAAAAUAUAAACAAAUGGUUAUUUUGUUAUUUUCAAUGGAAAAAAAAAACUUCACAAGAUUAGGACACAUGCAUGGUUUUUUUAAUAUAUAUAUAUAUAUCAUGCAACAUUCUAAAUCUAUUUAUAGAUUAUUUUGUUGAUUGAAUUUUUAUUUUUUUUUAUUUUGGUAAUUAUAUAAAACUAAAUAUUUUCUUCGCGCAAUGUUAAGAGCAGUUUGAAAUUUAAAAGAAGUGUGGAUUCUAAUAAUAAAUUUAGUUAUCUAAUGUUUACAUAUUUUAUUAAUUUGGCCUUAAAUAUAAAAAUUAAAUUCAACAAAAUUAGCCCUCAAUGUUUACAAAAUUUUUCAUUUUAGUUCAAAUUCUAAAAUAAUCCAAUAAAUUUAGCUCUCAACAUUUAUAAAAUGAAAGGAUUUGAUUUUUAAAAUUUUAAUUUUUUUUUUAAAAACCCAAAACACAAACCUAAAUAAACUGAAAAAGAAGAAGGAAUAAUUAUCAUCACCACGACCUAAUCUCUCAACUUUAAAAUAAGACUUCAACUUCGGUUUAACCCCAAGACAAGGCGAAACAUUGAAAGUAAGUGCAGCGGAUGCCAUUGAUUCUCCUACCUUUUGGCUAAACACAUAAAUUUGAACAACUUCAUACAUAACUAGCAGCAGUACUAAAAAAUCAUUAAUACUAUAUUUUCAAGUACAAGAAAUUGAAAAAAGAAUCACGGGUAGAGUACAAAAAUGAAAUUUGGUGUGAACCUAGAUUAACAAAACAAGGUUCACGGUUUCUCAAAAACACAAUACUAUAUUUUUAGAAUUUCUUGUGAAGAUCAAGCAAUGAGACAAAUACUGAAAUUGUGCCUUAAUAGCAAAUAAUAAUUCAAACCAAUGUAGAAAAAAGAUGAAGAAGAAGAAGAUAGGAAAAGAAUUUUUAGUUUACAUUAAAAGCCUUGAAAAGGUAGACCGAUAGGAUUGAUUGUUUUGAAUAUUACUCAACUUUCUCAUUAAUUCUUGUACUAUUAUGGCUAAGUGUGUUUUUAGAUGGUAAUGAAUUUUUUUAAUUGUUAAUAAUUUUUACAAUUAUUACACUUGAUUUGGCAGUUGUUUUUCUUUUUAAUUUACAAAAUUUUAAAAAAUUAAAAAUUUCUAUUUUGUAAAUGCUAAGAGCUAAAUUUAUUAUUAUUUAUUUUAGAAUCUAAACUAAAGUGACAAAUUUUGUAAAUAUUUGGUGUUAAAUUUAUUGGAUUUUUAUAUUUAAAAUCAAAUUGAUAGAAUGUGUAAAGAAAGUUAAUUUUUUUAUUAGACAAAUAAAAAAUAACCCAUUUCAACACUUCCGAAAAAUUUUCAAACGGCCGUUAACAUUUAGUGACGAAAAUAUUUGAUUUCAUAUAAUUUAAUAAUUAAAAUAAAAAUAAUUAAAAAUUUAGUAAUCAAAGUAAAACACAAGUGAUAUUAUUCUAGUGAUCAUUUCUGUACUUGACCCUAAUUUUUUUUUCAAAACACUGUUAAAAAACGAUUAAUUUCUCGUUUUGGCCGGAGUUAAAAUUUUUAAUAUAUUUGUUUUUAUUAAAUUUAAAAAUUAUAAUUUUACAUAAUAUAUUUUUGAUAGAAUACAUAUGAUAUAAUUUUAAUCAGUGACACCUGUUAAAGCUUGUUAGAUCUCCUGUAUCUCUUUCAAUCUGGUGGUAAAUGAAGCAAUCAAUGAGUAUUACAACCAGCCACAUGUCAUUCAAUUCACAUUAUAUCAAUCUUUUCCCUUUUCUCUCAUUUUGGUAGUUAAUUCCUUUUUUUGUCAUCGAAAUUAUAUUUUUUUCUCAAAUUGAUAAUUUCCUUAAUCCGUUAAGUUUGUUAAAAGAAACCUUAAUCUUAUUUAAAUUAUAUCUUUUUUUAUUUAUUUUGAUACUUAAACAUUUUUGUCACAUGUGGUAUGUAAUUUAUUUUUUCUUAAGUUGUUAGUUUAAUUAUUACUCAAAUAGUUAAGUCUAUUUAAAAAAAGAUAACUAUUUAAAAAUUACCAUAUUCGAACUAGCUAGGCCAUUAGUUCCUGGUUUAAUCAGUUUAUCUAGUUUGAUGAAAUCAAUUAUUAAAAAUUCAUAAAAAUAAAAAUGUUAAAAAAUAGAGAAAACUAGCUCAACUAGUUUUUUUUUUAAGCUCGACUCAAUCAAUCUGUAUUAGUUUGUAGGUUAAUCGGUUCAAGCCCUAUCUCCAAACUAGUAUCCCAGUUGGUUCCUAGUAUUAAGGGUGAGCAAAAUUUGAAUCGACUCGAAAAAAUUUAAAAAAGUUCGAAUUUUGAAUUAUUCGAAUCGAGUUAAUCGAAUCAACUCGAUUUUUUUUUAAUUUCAAGUUCGAGUCGAGUUGAGUUUUUGAAUUCAAAUAACUCGAAUAAUUCGAUUAAGCCGAAUACCAAACUAUAAUAUUUUACAUUUUACCUCAAACCCCAAACCCUUUUACUUUUCCCCCAAAACUUUACUCAUUCCUCCUUGUCUGCCCCUGUAACGCCCCAAAUUUUGAAUUGUUACUGUUAGUUUCUAUUUAUAAGUAAGUAUUUGCUUCAGUGGUUAAGUGUUAUGUGUUGGUGUUUGGAUCGGGGGUUCAAGUUAUACUUUUAGAGAAUUUUAUUAUUCUUUUGUUUCAACUCUUAUCCUUGAAUGUUUGAAUUAAGUUUGUAUCUGCAUUAAUUUGUGUCAAGAACGAGUCUUCUAGUUUAAUGGUUAAGUUUUGUAUUACCUAUGGUCUCGUGUUCGAGUCUCUGCGUAGGCAAUAAAGAAAUAUUUUGGCGUGCUAUCGGGAAAUCAGUUUUAUUUUAAUAAUUAUUUUUAUUUAAAACUUAUUUUUAGUUUUUUUUAUUUUGGUUCUUCUCCUUCCUUACUGUUCAUUUCCUUCUUCUUUUUUCUCCUUUUGUAACACCCCUAACUCGAAUCCGUCGCUGGAACAGGGUUAGGAGUAUUAUCGAAGUUUACAAUUUAAACAGGCAGAAAAAUUAAACAUUUCAUAACAUAUAGCAUUCAUGUUAGAAACCAAUCAUAAUUAUGCAUAUUGUCCCUAAUACGAGCCCUCGAGGCCCAAAAUACACCUUAGAAAUAAUUCGGGACUAAAUUGAAAAUUCGGAGCAUUUUUUAGAAACUUAUAAAAUUUUUAAAACUACAGGGGUCACAUGGCCGUGUGGCUAGGCUGUGUGACUCAUAUGGCCAACAGACACGCCCAUGUCUUAGACCGUGCGGGUAUUCGAAAUAGGGACACACGGUCGUGUCCCAGCCUGUGUCCAUGCCCGUGUAACUCACUAACUUGGGCCACACGGUCAAGCCAUACGCCCGUGUGCCAGGCAUUGUGAGCAUACUAACUUGCAUUCUUUAAAAGAUACAGGGGACACACGGCCAUGUCACCUGACCGUGUGUGACACACGCCCGUGUCUCUGCCCGUGUGGACAAAAAUAGGCUAUUUUUCAAGUCAUAAAUAUUCAUGUAUUCUUUAAAAGAUACAGGGGACACACGCCCGUGUCUCUGCCCGUGUCUCUGCCCAAUUUGGUACCAACCUAAACACAACAAUUUGCAUAUAACCAAGUCAUAAAUAGGCACCCAAAACCAGCCAAAAUCAAGCUUAAAACAUGUAAUAUCAUCACAUACAACCAAUAUGCCCUUAGGCACCUCAAAUGACAACUUAUAAUAUUAAUAUUCAUGUAUUCAAUAUAGCCAAAUGUAUAACUCACUUAUAUGCAUAUUUUCAUCCAAAGUUUAUUAAGCAAAUUUACAUCAUUUCUUACCAAAUUACUUACCUUCCAAAACAUAUUAUUUGGUGCUAAAAUGUAUUUAACAUACUAACAUAUUUAACUUAUAUGCCUUACAUAUCCAGACACCAAUUCAUGAUCAAUUCUUCACAUUUCAAAACACAUAUAUGAAAUGCACAUUAGGUUACCUUUUUACCACUAUUUAUUCAAUCAUGAACCAAACUACAUGUCAACCAUAAUAAGCAAAAUAUGCACAUAUCCAAAAUUCCAUAACACAAACAAAACAAAUGGCUAAUCUCAACAAAACACAUAUAAGCCAACAUUGGCCAAACUAAUCUAUACAUGCCAUUAUAACCGAAAUUAAACAACCGAAUGUACCAAAAGAGCCAAUGGAUAGUGUGAUAUAGCUCCGACAAGCUUCCAACCAGAACGAGCUUUCGAAUCACUAAAAACACAGAAAAUAACACAGAGUAAGCAUUCAAGCUUAGUAAGUUCAUAUAGCAUAUAAUUUAACUUACCAUUUAGUCACAUUUAAGGUAAGCAUACAAAACAUAUCCAAACUCAAUUAGGAUAAAAGCCUCAACACAUAUCCUCAUCAACCAUGUUAGUCAUGUAAUUCAUAUAAAUAUCAAGAAACAUGUAUGAGCUCAACAAUAAUCAAACUUCUAUGUACAUAUAAUUUCCACAUCAUGUAUUUACAUAUCAUGUACAAAUCAUUUUCAUAUAUCUCAUGUAAAUACAUGUAGUAGUUUGUAUUGAACUCGUGUAAUAUCAUAACAGAACAGUGCCCGUUGAACCAUUUAGAUUAUUUUUGGAUACGCGGAUAGUACACAUGAGGUGUACUGAACUGUAAUUCAUCAAUUCAUGUACAUGUAUGCUCAUAUGAGCUAUAAACAGUAAGCUCCUCUGAAAUGAAUAACAAUAAGCUUGUACAAGCUGAAUAUCGGUAAGCUCAUAUGAGCUGAGUAUCGGUAAGCUCAUAAGAGCUGAAAUCGAUAACCCUAAUGACAUGUUUACCAAGCCAUGACAUUCCACUAACACAUUUAACCUUUAAAAUUAUUUCAAUUUACAAGUUUAAGAAAGAACAUAAAAGAUGAUACUUGGCUUUAUUUUACUAAAUUUUGUUAUUUACUUAAUUACUUAUUUAACCUUUAAAAUCAUUUCAAUUUACAAGUUUACUAAGCCAUGACAUUCCACUAACACAUUUAAGGGUUAUUUACCAUAUAAGGACCUCUACUUUAAAUUUUUAUAGCUAUUUAAUACCUUUAGCUAUUAGAACUUUACUUUUACACUUUACGCGAUUUAGUCAUUUUUAUCAAAUUGAACAUGUAAACGGUAAAAUUUCUUAACGAAAUUUUCAUAUGGUAAUAUUAUCAUGUUUUCGACCAUAAAAUAAUAAUAAAAUAAAAUUUUUUACUUCAUAUUUGUGGUCCCAAAACUACUAUUCUGAUUUCACUGAAAAUGGGUUGUUACACCUUUCUUGCUUGAUUGCUUCCGUAAGUUUGCUAUCGUGCUUAAUUGGGCAUUCUGUGUGGUUUCUUACAUUGAUUGCAAGGAUAUUGCGUAAGUUAUGUUCUUGUUUUUUACCUAUUUUUUCUAGACUUCGUCUGUUUCGUCGAGGUUAGAUAUUACUGUUAAUGGUUGUAAAAUCUCGUUAAUAGUUCCAAUGGAUCUUCUUUUAGGAAAAGGUUUCAAAAGUAACAUUUCCCUGUGAGAUUAGGUCCGAAUUGUUGUUGCUUGCUUGUCAGUAAUUGAAAAUUUCUAUUUUGGAUAGCUGCGUCGAAGUUUUCGACGAACGUUAGUUUUGAGUGCUAAUUUUGGCAUUUUGAGUUGAUUUAGUCAUUUAAUUGGUCAAUUAAUUGUCGUUUUAGGUUUCAGAUUCUUGUGUGUUGCUUCUACAUCGAAACUACAUCAAGUGUGUAACGAAAACUCAUUUUUCUAUGAUUUACGAAUGCUAGAAAACAUGGCUGUUAAUCACACGACCGUGUGUUAGGCCAUGUAACUUACUGUUUAUGUAUUAAAGUCACCGAGCCAAGGACGUGGGCAUGUGUCCUAGUCGUGUAACUUACUAUUUGUGGAUUGGAGUCACACAGGCUAGGGACACGUUUGUGUGUCCAGACUGUGUGAAGGAAAUUUUAUGAAUUGAGUCACACAAGCGUGUGCUUGACUAUGUCAUAGACCGUGUAACUCACUUUUUUGAGCCACACGAUCGUGUGCCAGGCCGUGUGAUAGAUCGUGUGCUACACGGGCCAGCCUUCCGGGACAUGUGAAUCCACACAAGUGUGUGGGUCAAAAUUUCAAAUUUUUUAUUAGGGCCGUAAACAUCAUUCCAGUCAAACGUAGGCCUACUGUAGGGUCUGGAUGAUCUGAUUUGGGUUAUAAAACCCAUUGACUAGUUAUCUGUUUCUGUAUAAACUGUUAUUUUAUAUACAUCAUAGAAUUGUAAACUAGAGAGUAGUUGUAUUCUGUAUUAAUUGAGUAUAACCUGAAAUUUGUAACAUCGUAUGCUUAUAUCUGUAUCUGUAACAUUGCAUCUGCAUUGGGGUUGGGAUUGAAUAAGGAGGAAGUUAUGGCAGUUAAAUAAUCUGCUAAGACCGGUGGCUAAGACACGUAAAUGUAUCUAAUUUUGGUGACUUUCGCAUUCUGUCCUAGCAAUUAGUCUGCAACCUUUUGAACGUGACAUAUGGUCACUAUGUGGUGUGUAGGGACGAUACCCUUUUUGGUGUGUAGGGUUGGAUGAAGAUGGUGUGUAAUUGACAUAUUCUACUCUAUUUCCGUAUAUAAUUCUGAGAACUGUUCGAACUUUAAGAAAUUGAAGAUCUAUUUUGUUGUUUCACUUAAUAAUAAUAUAAGUUAUACGCUAUGUAUAACACCCUUUACCCGAGACCGUGGUCGGAGUCGAGCAUGAGGUGUUACUUGACUUAAAUUAAAAGUUCAGGGCAUAAAAAUUUACUUUCAAAAUUAAUUUCACCAUUCACAAUAAAGUUGUCCACCUGAGCAGCAGUCACUAAAUUAAUUAUAACUCAAGCUAAGAAACUCGAAAUUUAGAUUCGUAAAUUUUCCCUGAAACUAGACUCAUAUAUCUAUUCACAAAAUUUUUUUAGAAUUUUUGAUUUGACCAAUUAGUACAGUUUAUUAGUUGAAGUCUCCCCAGUUUCACUAAUCGACUAUCCUGACCUCUCGUCACUAAAAUUCAAUUAUCUCAUUAUACACACUUGGCAUGCUGAUUCCACUUAUUUAUACUUAAAAUAUACUCAUUAAGGAAUUUAAAAAUAUAAUUUAUAACUCAUAAUUCUAUUUGUACAAUUUUUAAUGAAUUUCUAAAGUCAGAACAGGGGACUUCAGAAUCAUUCUGACUCUGUCUCACUAAAAUUAAAAUAUCUAAAAGUAUAUAACUCUUUUACUUACUCUAUUGCUUUCAUGUGAAAGUAGACUCAUUCAGAUUUAAUUUCAUCUCUCGCUAAACUUAUAAUUCUAUUUCUACAAUUUUUGGUGAUUUUUCAAAGUUACAUCAAUGCUGCUGCCCAAAAAUAGUUCCAUUGAAAUUUUUUUAAAAAAAUUCAAUAUAACCCCUUUAUAAUUAUCUAACCUUCCCUGCAAAUUUCAAAUCACAACCAAUUUCAGUAUUUCAACUACUUCACUUAAAUACUAAUGAAGUUCAACUAAUCAACCAUUUCAAACUAAAAACAUGUAUAGUUCAAUGUUUAACACAACCAUCACAUUCAAAUUUAUUCAUUCUAUUACUUUUUACUUCAAUUCCCUAUACAUGUCAUAUAAAUCCAAAAAGUUGUUUAACAAAAUCUACAGGAGUAAAUCUGGAUAGUGUGAUUCUUGGUGUAGAUCUGAUCCUCCGAAUGUAUAAAUACGUCAACCUACAAGAAUCAAUAAACACACAAUUAAGCGUAUAGAAAGCUUAGUAAGUUCAUAGGCACCAAACAUAAAUCUUACCAAACAUUUAUACACUUAUACAUUAUACACCAUUACUAAGUUUACCUGUCAACCACAAUCUUUGGUGAGCUCCUUAGUAUAAACUCACUACUACUUAUUCUUUUACCAUAAUUCCUUUGGGCCCAUUUGUCACUUACCAUCCUUGAUCAAAAUUAAGGAACGGUUACGGAAAAUUGAGUACUUCACUUUCACUUUGCCAUAGUAUAACUAUGGUCUUACGUAUGAUCAAGCAUCACUUGUCCUUGAUAAGAUAAGUGUAGCUAGGCAACCACUUAUCACUUUGUCACUUGAUCAGAUAAGUGUAGCUAAAGCUACCACUUAUCAUUUUAUCACCACUUAUCACUUGUUCUUGAUUAGAUAAGUGUAGCUAAAGUUACCACUUAUCACUUUGUCACCACUUAUCACUUGUUCCUAAUCAGAUAAGUGUAGCUAAAACUACCACUUAUCACUUUGUCACUUGAUCAGAUAAGUGUAGCUAAGCUAUCACUUAUCACUUUGUCACUUGAUCAGAAGUACUCAAAUCCGGUGUUCUACUCAAUUUGAUCAUUUAUUCAGUUUUCACAUUUUUAUUUUAUUCUCAUUUCAUCAAUAAAUAUAUAUAUUUCAUCAUACAUUAUAUAAUUCAUGAAAUUAACAUUUAAUCAUUAAAUUUUAGCCAUAUGAACUUACCUGGGUUGAUUUGCUGAAUUUGUAAAAGUUUAGGGACUAAUCAGCUACUUUUUCUUUUCCUCGACUUGUUUCGGGUUCUCAAUAUGAUUCAAAUAUAUGAAAAACCAACUUGGAGGGACUCUUCAAUGGUGUUUUUUGCUAAAAAAUAUGAGGAAUUGCCUAGAAACACUUUUAGUUAAGAUUUUUAUUUGUUAAUUUUUACAAAAUUUCCAAUUUUGCCCUUAUUACAUCACUUUUUCAAAUUUUUCUUCUCUUAUGUCGUCUCAACUAUUCCAUAUUGGCAUAUUUAUGCCUUAAGUCCCUCCUUAUUUACCACUUAAGCUAUUUAAUCACUUUUAACAAAUUUUACAUUAUUUUCAGUUUAAUCCUUUUUAAUUAAUUAACCACCCAAACGUUAGAAUUUUCUAACGAAAAUUUAAUACCAACUCAAUGACACUCCAUAAAUGUUUCUAAAAAUAUUUAUGGCUCGAUUUAUGAGGUUGAGGUUUCAAUACCUCAUUUUCGAUUCUAAUUAUUUUAAUAUUUAUUCUUAGUACACUAUUCACUAUUUCAAAAAUUUUCCUAACUUCGCAUUUAACUUAUACUCACUAAAUUAAUAAUAUUUUCUACUCAUUUGUCAAAUUUAAUGAUCUCGAAUUACCAUUCCGACACCACUGAAAAUUCAGGCCAUUACAACUCUCCCCCCAUUUUGGAAAUUUCAUCCCCGAAAUUUCGUACCUGAAAAUAAAUUCGGAUACUGAAAUCUCAGCAAUUCCUCUGUUUCCCAGGUUGCCUCCUCUUUAACCUUAACUAGUGGUACAUGUUUAUUCCUCAACUCUUUAACCUUCUGAGCUAAAAUUUUCACCGGUUCCUCUGAAUAAGUCAUGUCAGGUUGAAGCUCUAUUUCCGUAUGAGGAAUUACAUGUGAUGGAUCUGAUCUGUACCGUCUCAACAUAGACACAUGAAACACAUUAUGAAUCUUUUCAAGUUCCGGGGGCAAAGCUAAUCUAUAGGUUACCGGACCGAUUCUUUCAAUGAUUUCAUACGGCCCAAUAAAUCGUGGGCUGAGUUUCCCCUUUUUGCUGAACCGCAAAACUUUCUUCCACGUGACACUUUCAAAAAUACACGAUCACCCACAUUAAACUCUAUAUCCCUUCUCUUCAAAUUUGCAUAUGAUUUUUGCCGAUCGGAGGUAGCUUUUAAACAAUCUCGAAUAAUACGAACUUUUUCUUCAGUUUCCUGAGUCAAUUCCACUCCCACCAGUUUCGAUUCACUUAAUUCAGACCAAUAUAAUGGAGUUCUACACUUUCUUCCAUACAAAGCUUCAAACGGUGCCAUUUUAAUGCUAGUUUGAUAACUAUUAUUAUAAGCAAAUUCGGCUAAAGGUAAAUACCUUUCCCAGCUACCGCCGAACUCAAGUAUACAACACCUUAACAUAUCUUCUAAAAUCUGAAUCACUCGCUCUGACUGCCCAUCUGUCUAGGGAUGAAAAGCUGUGUUGAAAUUUAAUUUGGUGCCUAAAGCUUCCUGUAAUUUACUCUAAAAUCUCGAGGUAAAUCUCGGAUCUCGAUAUGAAAUAAUAGAUGUCGGUACCCCAUGUAACCUCACUAUCUCAGACACAUAUAACUCCGCUAACUUUUCAAGCUGAUAAUCUGCUCUGACUGGAAUAAAAUGUGCUGACUUAGUUAACCGAUCAACAAUCACCCAUAUUGAAUGUUUCUUCUUCAGAGUUAUUAGUAAUCCAGAUACAAAAUCCAUUGUAACAUGUUCCCAUUUCCAAUCUGGAAUCAUAAUGGGCUGUAACAACCCUGUCGGCACUUGAUGCUCAGCUUUCACCUGUUGACAGAUCAAACAUCUUGCUACAUACUCAAAGAUUUCCCGUUUCAUUCCGGGCCACCAAUACAUUUUCUUCAAAUCACAAUACAUUUUUGUACUACCCGGGUAAAUAGAACACAUACUACUGUGAGCCUCUGAUAAAAUAUCAUUUUUCAAGUUUAAAUUAUUCGGAAUACAUAUUCUAUUACGAUAAUAUAACAUACCAUUUUCAUCAAUGGAGUAUUCUGAGCUUAACUUAUCUUGAACCAUCUGUCGUUUUAUCAUCAAUUUUGGGUCAUCAUCCUAUAACUCCCGAAUCCGUUGAAAAAACACGGGUUUAGCCUUUAAUUCUGCUAGUACAGAACCAUCCUCAUUAAUAGAUAAAUGAGCAUUCAAUGCCCGUAGUGCAAAUAAUGAUGAUUUCCGACUAAGCGCAUCUGCUGCGGUAUUUGCUUUCCCUCGGUGAUAGUCAAUGACAAGAUCAUAAUCUUUCAGCAACCCCAACCAUCGUCUCUGUGUCAAAUUUAACUCUUUCUGAGUCAUUAAAUACUUCAAGCUUUUAUGAUCAGUAUACACGUAACAUUUCUCACCAUAUAAGUACUCUUCAUAUCUUCAAAGCAAACACGAUCGCUGCCAAUUCCAAAUCAUGUGUAGGAUAAUUCUUCUCGUGCGGUUUCAGUUGCCGAGAAGCAUAUGCCACCACUUUGCCUGACUGAAUAAGUACACAGCCCAACCCAUUUACAGACGCAUCACUAUAUACUACAAACGGUACACCCGAUUCUGGUUGAGUCAACACUGGAGCCUCUGUCAACAUCUUUUUCAACUAAUCGAAACUCCGCUGACAUUCAUCUAACCAUAUAAAUUCAACAUUCUUUUGUAGCAAUCGAGUCAACGGUAAGGUAAUCAUUGAGAAAUCUUUGACAAAUCGACGAUAAUAACCUGCCAAUCGUAGAAAACUCUGCACUUCAGUCACAUUCUUCGGAACUUUCCAAUUUAUCACUGCUGCUACCUUACUUGGAUCCACUCUUAUUCCAUCAGCUGAUACAAUAUGACCCAAAAACGCAACUUCAUGGAGCCAAAAUUCACAUUUGCUAAAUUUGGCAUACAAUUGUUUCUCCCACAAAGUCUGUAAUACAAUCCUUAGAUGUUGUGCAUGUUCGGACUCUGUCUUUGAAUAAAUCAAUAUAUCGUCAAUGAACACAACCACAAAUCUAUCCAAAUAUGACUGAAAAAUUCUAUUCAUCAAAUCCAUAAAAGCAGCAGGGGCAUUGGUUAAACCAAAUGGCAUCACCAAAAAUUCAAAAUGACCAUAUUGAGUUCGAAAGGCAGUUUUCGGCACUUCACACUCUUUAACUUUCAACUGAUAAUACUCGGAUCGAAGAUCUAUCAUGGAAAAUACUGCAGCACCUUUCAACUGAUCAAACAAAUCAUCAAUAUGAGGCAAAGGAUUUUUAUUCUUUACUGUUACCUUAUUCAACUGUCUGUAAUCUAUACACAGUCUUAAAAAACCAUCCUUCAUUUUCACAAACAAGACAGGUGCACCCCAGGGCGACAUACUCGGUCUGAUGAACCCUUUAUCUAAUAACUCCUGCAGCUGCGCCUUCCGUUCUUUUAACUCGACUGGAGCCAUUCUGUACGGUGUCAUUGAGAUAGGAGUUGUUCCGGGGAUCACAUCAAUUACAAAUUCAACUUCUCUAUCAGGUGGUAGACCGGGUAACUCUUCAGGGAAUUCAUUCACCAUUGGCACUUGUUCGAGCUUCAAAUCAGAACCCUGAGUAUCCAGGAUAUAGGCCAAGAAUGCUUCGUUGCCUUUGCGUAAUAACCUCUGAGCAGAGAGAGCUAAAAUAAUUCUGACUGUAUCACCCAGCUUUUCAGACCCAACUGAGAUUAUAUCUCCCGUUUGACAUUUCAAACUGAUCUGUUUAUCACGACAAUUCACUACCACAUCAUGUCUCAUUAACCAGUCCAUCCCCAGAAUAAUGUCAAAUUCCCGAAAAGGUAACAACAUCAAAUCAGCGAGGAAUUCAUAGCCUUUCACUUUCAGUGGACAAUUACGACAUAUCAAAUUAACCAUCACACUUUGACCUAAUGGGUUUGUGACUUGUAUAUCAAAUUCAGUGGACUCAACAGAUAAUUUCUUUUUAGAUGCUAACAUAGUGCAAAUAUAUGAAUGAGUAGAUCCAGGGUCUAUCAAUGCAUAAACAAUAACAUCAUAAAGAUAGAAAGUACCAGCAAUUACAUCAGGAGCCGUAGCCUCUUUCCUUGCUCGAAUGGCGUAGGUACGUGCUGGUGCUCUAUUCUCUGAUCGACCAACUGAUUCCCUCGUACCCGAACGGGUAGUCCCUGUAGCACUGCUCUGGCCCGAACGUCUACUUUUUUGGGGAAUGGUUCUCUGUAUUUCUUUCUGUUCCACUUCAUCUUUUUAUAGUCGGGGACAAUCUCGAAUAAGAUGAUUAGUACCCCCACAUUUUUAACAAGCCCCCAUCUUGGUCCUGCAUUCUCUGAAAUGAUAUCUUCCACAAUAUUGACACUUAGGCCGGGGAACAUUCUGAACACUGCUCACACUUGCUGGAGGUCUAUCGAAUACCCUGAAAUCAGAUUGUCUUGGUCUAUCUCUACCCGAUCUUCUCGACAUUGAUGUAGUUCGACUAAUUUCUUCUCUAGAUUUGUUCACUGGUAAAUCUAAAAAUGACUUAGAAGCACCUCUUUUGAAUGGCUCUUUACUUUUUCGAUCCCGCUACAUUUUUCUGUUGUAUACUUCUUCGAGCUUUUGAGCACGGUUUGACAGAACAGGGAACUCUCGUAUUUCAUUACCCCCAAUCAUCAUUCUAAUUUCAUCAUUUAACCCUUCUUCAAACCUGAUACACAUUUCUUCUUUAAUAAGUACAAUGUCUCGGGCAUAUUUGCUGAGGUAGACAAAUUCUCUUUCGUAUUCAGCCACUGAUUUAUCUCCCUGGCGUAGGUCGAGAAAUUCCCUUUUAUUUUUAUCCAAAUACCGUCUGCCCACAUAUUUCUUCUUAAAUUCAUUUUGGAAAAAUUCCCAAUAAAUUUUCUCUGUCGGAACCACAUCCUCAAUCGUCUCCCACCAACUAUAAGCUUCUUCUUUCAAUAGAGACACAACACAUCUCAAAUAAUCAUCUGGUGAGCAAGCCAUUUCUUUAAAAAUUCUUAUUAAACUCUGUAACCAAUAUUCAGCUUUGACGGGAUCUUUAUCAGUCCUUCCCCGAAAUUCUUCGGCUCUAAGUUUUUUAAGCCUUUCCAAUGGAGAACGCUUUCUGGAUUCAGUCGUUGUAAAAGGUGGAGGAGCAACCGGGUGUACCACCGAUGGAGCAGUAGGGGGAGGAGGUGGUUCAGCCUGAUUUCUUUCUUGCCUCAUUUCAGUAUAUCAUUGAUUCAUAAUCCCAUAAAUCAUAUUCUUUAACUCUUGCUCUCGCAUUUGGGAGAUCGGAACAUCACUGCUUGUUCUUUGUUUAGAAUUAUGUAUUCUACUAUUAACUUCUUCUUUCUCAGUACGUUUAGGUAUAUCUAACAUCUCCAUAACCGGAGAAUAUCUACUAUUAACUUCUUCUUACUGGAUUCAGUCGUUGUAAGAGGUGGAGAAGCAACCGGGGGUACCACCGAUGGAGCAGUAGGCAGAGGAGGUGGUUCAGCCUGAUUUCUUUCUUGCCUCAUUUCAGUAUACCACUGAUUCAUAAUCCCAUAAAUCAUAUUCUUUAACUCUUGCUCCCGUAUUUGGGAGAUCAGAACACCACUGCUUGUUCUUUGUUCAGAAUUAUGUAUUCUACUAUUAACUUCUUCUUGCUCAGUACGUUCAAGUAUAUCUGACAUCUCUAUAACCGGAGAAUAUCUAUAAAAAUAACAAAGAUUAGAUCGCAUCAUACGCAUUACACUAUCACAGAUUUAUAUGGCAUGUAUUUCUAAACACUUUACACUUCACACAUAUUCCGAGAACCGGCUAAACCUGGAUCUGAUACCAAUAAAAUGUAACACCCUUUACCCGAGACCGUUUCCAGAGUCGAGCAUGAGGCGUUACUUGACUUAACUUAAAAGUUCAGGGCAUAAAAAAUUACUUUCAAAAUUAAUUUCACCAUUCACAAUAAAGUUGUCCACCCACGCAGCAAUCUCUAAAUUAAUUAUAACUCAAGAUGCGAAACUCGAAAUUUAGAUCUGUAUAUUUUACCUAAAACUAGACUCAUAUAUCUAUUCACUACAAAAUUUUCAGACUUUUUGGUUUGGCAAAUUAGUACAGUUUAUUAAUUGAAGUCUCCCCUGUUUCACUAAUAGACUAUCCUGACCUCUCGUCACUAAAAUUCAAUUAUCUCAUUAUACAAACUUGACUUGGUGUUUUCAAUUAUUUUUACUUAAAACAGACUCAUUAAGGAAUUUAAACAUAUAAUUUAUAACUCAUAAUUCAUUUUGUACAAUUUUUAAUGAAUUUCUAAAGUCAAAACAGGGGACUUCAAAAUCAUUCUGACUCUGUCUCACUAAAAUUCAAAUAUCUAAAAGUAUAUAACUCUUUUGCUUACUCUAUUGCUUUAAUGUGAAAGUAGGCUCAUUCAGCUUUAAUUUCAUCUCUCACUCAACUUAUAAUUCUAAGUCCACAUUUUUGGUGAUUUUUCAAUGUUACAUCAAUACUGCUGUCCAAAAACUGUUCCAUUGAAAUUUUUUUAAAAAAUUUCAAUAUAACCCUUUUAUAAUUAUCUAACCUUCCCUGCAAAUUUUAAAUCACAACCAAUUUCAGUAUUUCAACCACUUCACUUAAAUACUAAUGAAGUUCAACCAAUCAACCAUUUCAAACUAAAAACAUGCAUAGUUCAAUGUCUAACACAACCAUCACAUUCAAAUUUACUUUGCAUAUUUAGGUAUUCAUUCUUUUACUUUUUACUUCAAUUCCCUAUACAUGCCAUAUAAAUCCAAAAACUUGUUUAACAAAAUCUACCGGAGUAAAUCUUGAUAGUGUGAUUCUUGGUGUAGAUCCGAUCCUCUGAAUGUAUAAAUACGUCAAUCUACAAGAAUCAAUAAACGCACAAGUAGGCUUAAUAAACACACAAGUAAGCUUAUAGAAAGCUUAGUAAGUUCAUAGGCACCAAACAUAAAACUUACCAAACAUUUAUACACUUAUACAUUAUACACCAUUACUAAGUUUACCUGUCAACCACAUUCUUUGGUGAGUUCCUUGGUAUAAACUCACUAAUACUUAUUCUUUUACCAUAAUUCCUUUGGGCCCAUUUGUCACUUACCAUCCUUGAUCAAAAUUAAGGAACGGUUACGGAAAAUUGAGUACUUCACUUUCACUUUGCCAUAGUAUAACUAUGGUCUUACGUAUGAUCACUUAUCACUUGUCCUUGAUCAGGUUAGUGUAGCUAGGCUACCACUUAUCACUUGUUCCUGAUCAGAUAAGUGUAGCUAAGCUAUCACUUGUCACUUUGUCACUUGAUCAGAAGUACUCAAAUCCGGUGUUCCGCUCAAUUUGAUCAUUUAUUCAGUUUGCGCAUUUUUAUUUUAUUCUCAUUUCAUCAAUAAUAUAUAUAUAUAUAUAUAUAUAUAUAUAUAUAUAUUUCACCAUACAUUAUAUAAUUCAUGAAAUUAACAUUUAAUCAUUAAAUUUCAUCCAUAUGAACUUACCUAGGUCGAUUUUCUGAAUUUGUAAAAGUUCAAGGACUAAUCAGCUACUUUUUCUUUUCCUCGACUUGUUUCGGGUUCUCGAUAUGAUUCAAAUAUAUGAAAAACCAGCUUGGAGGGACUCUUCAAUGGCGUUUUUUGCUGAGAAAUAUGAUGAAUUGCCUAGAAACUCUUUUAGUUAAGAUUUUUAUUUGUUAACUUUUACAAAAUUUCUAAUUUUGCCCUUAUUACAUCACUUUUUCAGAUUUUUCUUCUCUUAUGCUGUCUCAACUAUUCCAUAUUAGCAUAUUUAUGCCUUAAGUCCCUCCUUAUUUACCACUUAAGCUGUUUAAUCACUUUUAACAAAUUUUACAUUAUUUUCAGUUUAGUCCUUUUUAAUUAAUUAACCACCCAAACGUUAGAAUUUUCUAACGAAACUUUAAUACCAAUUCAAUGACACUCUAUAAAUGUUUCUAAAAAUAUUUAUGGCUCGAUUGAUGAGUUUGAGGUUUCGAUACCUCAUUUUCGAUUCUAAUUAUUUUAAUAUUUAUUCUUAGUACACUAUUCACUAUUUCAAAAAUUUUCCUAACUUCGCAUUUAACUUAUACUUACUAAAUUAAUAAUAUUUUCUACUCAUUUGUCAAAUUUAAUGAUCUCGAAUUACCAUUCCGACACCACUGAAAAUUCAGGCCAUUACAACUCUCCCCCCAUUUUGGAAAUUUCGUCCCCGAAAUUUCGUACCUGAAAAUAAAUUCGAAUACUGAAAUCUCAUCAAUUCCUCUGUUUCCCAGGUUGCCUCCUCAGAUCCAUGUCGAUUCCAUAACACCUUAACUAGUGGUACAUGUUUAUUCCCUAACUCUUUAACAUCCCAAGCUAAAAUUUUCACCGGUUCCUCUGAAUAAGUCAUGUCAGGUUGAAGCUCUAUUUCCGUAUGAGGAAUUACAUGUGAUGGAUCUGAUUUGUACCGUCUCAACAUAGACACAUGAAACACAUUAUGAAUCUUUGCAAGUUCCGGGGGCAAAGCUAAUCUAUAUGUUACCGGACCGAUUCUUUCAAUGAUUUCAUACGGCCCGAUAAAUCGUGGGCUGAGUUUUCCUUUUUUGCUGAACCGCAAAACUUUCUUCCACGGUGACACUUUCAAAAAUACACGAUCACCCACAUUAUACUCUCUAUCCCUUCUCUUCAAAUCUGCAUAUGAUUUUUGCUGAUCGGAGGCAGCUUUUAAGCAAUCUCGAAUAAUACGAACUUUUUCUUCAGUUUCCUGAGUCAAUUCCACUUCCACCAGUUUCAAUUCACUUAAUUCAGACUAAUAUAAUGAAGUUCUACACUUUCUUCCAUACAAAGCUUCAAACGGUGCCAUUUUAAUGCUAGUUUGAUAACUAUUAUUAUAAGCAAAUUCGGCUAAAGGUAAAUACCUUUCCCAGCUACCGCCGAACUCAAGUAUACAACACCUUAACAUAUCUUCUAAAAUCUGAAUCACUCGCUCUGACUGCCCAUCUGUCUGGGGAUGAAAAGCUGUGUUGAAAUUUAAUUUGGUGCCUAAAGCUUCCUGUAAUUUACUCUAAAAUCUCGAGGUAAAUCUCGGAUCUCGAUCUGAAAUAGUAGAUGUCGGUACCCCAUGUAACCUCACUAUCUCAGACACAUAUAACUCCGCUAACUUUUCAAGCUGAUAAUCUGCUCUGACUGGAAUAAAAUAUGCUGAUUUAGUUAACCGAUCAACAAUCACCCAUAUCGAAUCUUUCUUCUUCGAAGUUACUGGUAAUCCGGAUACAAAAUCCAUCGCAACAUGUUCCUAUUUCCACUCUGGAAUCAUAAUGGGCUGUAACAACCCUGUCGGCACUUGAUGCUCAGCUUUCACCUGUUGACAGAUCAAACAUCUUGCUACAUACUCACAGAUUUCCCAUUUAAUUCCGGGCCACCAAUACAUUUUCUUCAAAUCACAAUACAUUUUUAUACUAACCCGGUGAAUAGAACACAUACUACUGUGAGCCUCUGAUAAAAUAUCAUUUUUCAAGUUUAAAUUAUUCGGAAUACAUAUUCUAUUACGAUAAUAUAACAUACCAUUUUCAUCAAUGGAGUAUUCUGAGCUUAACUUAUCUUGAACCAUCUGUCGUUUUAUCAUCAAUUUUGGGUCAUCAUCCUGUAACUCCUGAAUCCAUUGAAAGAACACGGGUUUAGCCUUUAAUUCUGCUAGUACAGAACCAUCCUCAUUAAUAGAUAAAUGAGCAUUCAAUGCCCGUAGUGCAAAUAAUGAUGAUUUCCGACUAAGUGCAUCUGCUGCGGCAUUUGCUUUCCCUGGGUGAUAGUCAAUGACAAGAUAAUAAUCUUUCUGCAACUCUAACCAUCGUCUCUAUCUCAAAUUUAACUCUUUCUGAGUCAUUAAAUACUUUAAGCUUUUAUGAUCAGUAUACACGUAACAUUUCUCACCAUAUAAGUAGUGUCUCCUUAUCUUCAAAGCAAACACGAUCGCUGCCAAUUCAAAAUCAUGUGUAGGAUAAUUCUUAUCGUGCGGUUUCAGUUGCCGAGAAGCAUAUGCCACCACUUUGCCUGACUGAAUAAGUACACAGCCCAACCCAUUUACAGAUGCAUCACUAUAUACUACAAAUGGUACACCCAAUUCUGGUUGAGUCAACAUUGGAGCCUCUGUCAACAUCUUUUUCAACUGAUCGAAACUCCGCUGACAUUUAUCUGACCAUAUAAAUUCAACAUUCUUUUGUAGCAAUCGAGUCAACUGUAAGGUAAUCAUUGAGAAAUCUUUGAUAAAUCGACAAUAAUAACAUACCAAUCGUAGAAAACUCCACACUUCAAUAACAUUCUUCGGAACUUUCCAAUUUACCAUUGCCGCUACCUUACUUGGAUCCACUCUUAUUCCAUGAGCUGAUACAAUAUGACCCAAAAAUGCAACUUCAUGGAGCCAAAAUUCUCAUUUGCUGAAUUUGGCAUACAAUUGUUUCUCUCGCAAAGUCUGUAAUACAAUCCUUAGAUGUUGUGCAUGUUCGGACUCUGUCUUUGAAUAAAUCAAUAUAUCGUCAAUGAACAACCACAAAUCUAUCCAAUUAUGACUGAAAAAUUCUAUUCAUCAAAUCCAUAAAAGCAGCAAGGGCAUUGGUUAAACCAAAUGGCAUCACCAAAAAUUCAUAAUGACCAUAUCGAGUUUGGAAGGCAGUUUUCGGCACAUCACACUCUUUAACUUUCAACUGAUAAUACCCAGAUUGAAGAUCUAUCUUGGAAAAUAUUGCAGCACCUUUCAACUGAUCAAACAAAUCAUCAAUAUGAGGCAAAGGAUAUUUAUUCUUUACUGUUACCUUAUUCAACUGCCUGUAAUCUAUACACAGUCUUAGAGAACCGUCCUUUUUUUUCACAAACAAGACAGGUGCACCCCAGGGCGACAUACUCGGUCUGAUGAAUCAUUUCUCUAAUAACUCCUGUAACUGCGCCUUCAACUCUUUUAACUCGGCUGGAGCCAUUCUAUACGGUGUCAUUGAGAUAGGAGUUGUUCCGGCGAUCACAUCAAUUACAAAUUCAACUUCUUUAUCAGGUGGUAGACCGGGUAACUCUUCAGGGAACACAUUAGGGAAUUCAUUCACUACUGGCACUUGUUUGAGCUUCAAAUCAGAACCCUGAGUAUCCAUGAUAUAGGCCAAGAAUGCUUCGUUGCCUUUGCGUAAUAACCUCUGAGCAGGGAGAGCUGAAAUAAUUCUGACUGUAUCACCCAUAUUUUCAGACCCAACUGAGAUUAUAUCUCCCGUUUGACAUUUCAAAUUGAUCUGUUUAUCACGACAAUUCACUACCGCAUCAUGUCUCACUAACCAGACCGUCCCAAGAAUAAUGUCAAAUUCUCGAAAAGGUAACAACAUCAAAUCAGCGGGGAAUUCAUAGCCUUUCACUUUUAAUGGACAAUUACGACAUAUCAAAUUAACCAUCACACUUUGACCUAAUGGGUUUGUGACUUGUAUAUCAAAUUCAGUGGACUUAACAGAUAAUUUCUUUUCAGAUGCUAACAUAGUGCAAAUAUAUGAAUGAGUAGAUCCAGGGUCUAUCAAUGCAUAAACAAUAACAUCAUAAAGAUAGAAAGUACCAACAAUUACAUCAGGAGCCGUAGCCUCUUCCCUUGCUCGAAUGGCAUAGGUACGUGCUGGUGCUCUAUUCUUUGAUCGACCAACUGAUUCCCUCGUACCCGAACGGGUAGUCCCUGUAGCACUGCUCUGGCCCGAAUGUCUACUUCUUUGGGGAAUGGUUCUCUGUAUCUCUUUCUGUUCCACUUCAUCUUUUUACAGUCGGGGACAAUCUCGAAUAAGAUGAUUAGUAGCCCCACAUUUUUAACAAGCCCCCAUCUUGGUCCUGCAUUCUCCGAAAUGAUAUCUUCCACAAUAUUGACACUUAGGCCGGGGAGCAUUCUGAACACCGCUCACACUUGCUGCAGGUCUAUCGAAUACCCUGAAAUCAGAUUGUCUUGGUCUAUCUCUACCCGAUCUUCCCAACAUUAAUGUAGUUCGACUAAUUUCUUCUCUAGAUUUCUUCACUGGCAAAUCUAAAAAUGACUUAGAAGCACCUCUUUUGAAUGGCUCUUUACUUUUUCGAUCCCGCUGCAUUUUUCUAUUGUAUACUUCUUCGAGCUUUUGAGCACGGUCUGACAGAACAACGAACUCUCGUAUUUCAUUACCCCCAAUCAUCAUUCUAAUUUCAUCAUUUAACCCUUCUUCAAACCUGAUACACAUUUCUUCUUUAGUAGGUACAAUGUCUCGGGCAUAUUUGCUGAGGUAAACAAAUUCACUUUCGUAUUCAGCCACUGAUUUAUUUCCCUGGCGUAGGUCGAGAAAUUCCCUUUUAUUUUUAUCCAAAUACCGUCUGCCCACAUAUUUCUUCUUAAAUUCAUUUUGGAAAAAUUCCCAAUAAAUUUUCUCUGCUGGAACCACAGCCUCAAUCGUCUCCCACCAACUAUAAGCUUGCUUCUUUCAAUAGGGACACAGCACAUCUCAAAUAAUCAUCUGGUGAGCAAGCCAUUUCUUUAAAAAUUCUUAUUAAACUCUGUAACCAAUAUUCAGCUUUGACGGGAUCUUCAUCAGUCCUUCCUGAAAUUCUUCGGCUCCAAGUUUUUUAAGCUUUUCCAAUAGAGAACGCUUACUAGAUUCAGUCGUUGUAGGAGGUGGAGGAGUAACCGGGGGUACCAUCGAUGGAGCAGUAGGGGGAGGAGGUGGUUCAGCCUGAUUUCUUUCCUGCCUCAUUUCAAUAUACCACUGAUUCAUAAUCUCAUAAAUCAUAUUCUUUAAUUCUUGCUCUUGCAUUUGGGAGAUCGGAACAUCACUGCUUGUUCUUUGUUCAGAAUUAUGUAUUCUACUAUUAACUUCUUCUUACUUAGUUCGUUCAGGUAUAUCUGACAUCUUUAUAACUGGAGAAUAUAUAUGAAAAUAACAAAGAUUAGAUCGGAUCAUACGCAUCACACUAUCACAGAUUUAUAUGGCAUGUAUUUCUAAACACUUUACACUUCACACAUAUUCCGAGAACCGGCUAAACCGGGAUCUGAUACCAAUAAAAUAUAACACCCUUUACCCAAGACCGUUGCCCGAGUCGAGCAUGAGGCGUUACUUGACUUAACUUAAAAGUUCAGGGCAUAAAAAUUUACUUUCAAAAUUAAUUUCACCAUUCACAAUAAAGCUGUCCACCUGCGCAGGAGUCACUAAAUCAAUUAUAACUCAAGCUACGAAACUCAAAAUUUAGAUCCGUAAAUUUUCCCUAAAACUAGACUCAUAUAAAUAUUCACCAUAAAUUUUUAAGAAUUUUUGGUUUAUCCAAUUAGUAUAGUUUAUUAGUUUAAGUCUCCCUUGUUUCACUAAUAGACUACCCUGACCUCUCGUCACUAAAAUUCAAUUAUCUCCUUAUACAGACUUGACAUGGUGCUUCCAAUUAUUUUUACUUAAAAUAUACUCAUUAAGGAAUUUAAAAAUAUAAUUUAUAACUCAUAAUUACUUUUUUACAAUUUUUAUUGAAUUUCUAAAGUCAGAACAGAGGACUUCAAAAUCAUUCUGACCCUGUCUCACUAAAAUUCAAAUAUCUAAAAGUAUAUAACUCUUUUGCUUACUCUAUUGCUUUCAUGUGAAAGUAUACUCAUUCAGAUUUAAUUUCAUAUCUCACUUAACUUAUAAUUCUAUUUCCACUAUUUUUGGUGAUUUUUCACAGUUACAUCAAUGCUGCUGUCCAAAAACUGGUCCAUUGAAAUUUUUUAAAAAAAUUCAAUAUAACCCCUUUAUAAUUAUCUAACCUUCCCUGCAAAUUUCAAAUCACAACCAAUUUCAGUAUUUCACCUACUUCACUUAAAUACUAAUGAAGUUCAACCAAUCAACCAUUUCAAACUAAAAACAUGUAUAGUUCAAUGUCUAACACAACCAUCACAUUCAAAUUUACUUUGCAUACUUAGUCAUUCAUUCUAUUACUUUUUACUUCAAUUCCCUAUACAUGCCAUAUAAAUCCAAAAAGUUGUUUAACAAAAUCUACCAGAGUAAAUCUAGAUAGUGUGAUUCUUGGUGUAGAUCCGAUCCUCUGAAUGUAUAAAUACGUCAAUCUACAAGAAUCAAUAAACACACAAUUAAGCUUAUAGAAAGCUUAGUAAGUUCAUAAGCACCAAACAUAAAUCUUACCAAACAUUUAUACACUUAUACAUUAUACACCAUUACUAAGUUUACCUGUCAACCACAAUCUUUGGUGAGUUCCUUGUUAUAAACUCACUACUACUUAUUCUUUUACCAUAAUUCCUUUGGGCCCAUUUGUCACUUACCAUCCUUGAUCAAAAUUAAGGAACGGUUACGGAAAAUUGAGUACUUCACUUUCACUUUGCCAUAGUAUAACUAUGGUCUUACGUAUGAUCACUUAUCACUUGUCCUUGAUAAGAUAAGUGUAGCUAGGCUACCACUUAUCACUUUGUCACUUGAUCAGAUAAGUGUAGCUAAAGCUACCACUUAUCACUUUAUCACCACUUAUCACUUGUUCCUGAUCAGAUAAGUGUAGCUAAAACUACCACUUAUCACUUUGUCACCACUUAUCACUUGUUCCUGAUCAGAUAAGUGUAGCUAAAGCUACCACUUAUCACUUUGUCACUUGAUCAGAUAAGUGUAGCUAAGCUAUCACUUAUCACUUUGUCACUUGAUCAGAAGUACUCUAAUCCGGUGUUCCGCUCAAUUUGAUCAUUUAUUCAGUUUUCACAUUUUUAUUUUAUUCUCAUUUCAUCAAUAAAUAUAUAUAUUUCAUCAUACAUUAUAUAAUUCAUGAAAUUAACAUUUAAUCAUUAAAUUUCAGCCAUAUGAACUUACCUGGGUCGAUUUAUUGAAUUUGUAAAAGUUCAGGGACUAAUCAGCUACUUUUUCUUUUCCUCGACUUGUUUCGGGUUCUCAAUAUGAUUCAAAUAUAUGAAAAACCAGCUUGGAUGGACUCUUCAAUGGCGUUUUUUGCUGAGAAAUAUGAUGAAUUGCCUAGAAACUCUUUUAGUUAAGAUUUUUAUUUGUUAACUUUUACAAAAUUUCCAAUUUUGCCCUUAUUACAUCACUUUUUCAGAUUUUUCUUCUCUUAUGCCGUCUCAACUAUUCCAUAUUAGCAUAUUUAUGCCUUAAGUCCCUCCUUAUUUGCCACUUAAGCUGUUUAAUCACUUUUAACAAAUUUUACAUUAUUUUCAGUUUAGUCCUUUUUAAUUAAUUAACCACCCAAACGUUAGAAUUUUCUAACGAAACUUUAAUAUCAAUUCAAUGGCACUCUAUAAAUGUUUCUAAAAAUAUUUAUGGCUUGAUUGAUGAGUUUGAGGUUUCGAUACCUCAUUUUUUAUUCUAAUUAUUUUAAUAUUUAUUCUUAGUACACUAUUCACUAUUUCAAAAAUUUUCCUAACUUCGCAUUUAACUUAUACUCACUAAAUUAAUAAUAUUUUCUACUCAUUUGUCAGAUUUAGUGAUCUAGAAUUACCAUUCCGACACCACUGAAAAUUCAGGCCAUUACAUUAUGUUUAUUGACUCAUUUUUUCUGUUGACUGAAUUUCAGGUAACUCAUCGACUUAGGCGGGUCGGCAUGGCGAGAGCUCGGUCAUCCUUAUUUAGUAAUUUUCUGUUUAAAUUAAACUUAUGCUAUAGUUGUUUUAUCUUGAAUUACAGAUUUCAAAUUUAUAUUUCUACACUAGUUCAACUAUUUAAACAUUUUCUGACAAUUAAACUUUAAUUAGUUAAAAGUGAGAAUUUCUUAAAUGAUUUGUUGUAGCUUUCCAAGCUUGGUCCUAACAUCUAGGUCGGGUUUGGGGUGUUACAACCCAAAACCCCCAAACUUUCCCCUCAAAACUUUUACUCCCCCACCCUUUCUCUUUCUCGCUCACCCUCCCAAACCCUUCUACUUUUCCCCCAAAACUUUUACUUCCCACUUUUACCCCCAAAUCAAAAAUCAAAAUCCUCCCAAAAAAAUCCUUAAACCUAAAUAGUAAUAAUUUUAUUUAUGGCUACUAUUUAUAUUAUAAAUUAAAUUUCACAUUUUCUAUUAUUUAUAUUAUUAAAUUGUUUAAUCAUUUUGAAUCUUUAUCAAUUUCUGUUAAAACUGUAUCAUUGAUGAUGUCAUACAUUAUUUGUGUUAAAAAUUUCUAUUGGUAUCAAUUUCACAUUUUAUCUUUAAAAUAAAUUUUAUUAAAAAAAUUACUUUUUUACAUUUAAUAUAUUUUUUAAUUUCAAAAUAUAUGGUGACAAGAAUUAGAAGAUAAUUGAAGCAACUAAGCAAGUAAAAAAGCUAACAUGUAUAUAAAAGAUUAAAUAAAUUAUGAAGGGAUGAAAGUUAAUAACACAUUUGAUUACGGUGGACAAAUUUGAUAAUGAUGGGUGACAGUGGCUACAAGGAUCCAAAGUAAUUUUUUCAAUUAACUGGAAACAAAUAUAUUCGAUUCGAUUCGAUAAAAUUUGAAAUCAUUUUAGGAUGAUAAAAUAAGACUCGUCAACUCGAUUAACUCGAAGUUUUUUCAUUUGAUUCGAUUAGACGCUCACCCCUACAAAGUAUGACCGAUUGGUCUGAUUCUGAAAAAAAUUGGUUUUGAUCAAUGAAAGAACUUUUACGAUGGCGACAGGUCUAACAAACAGGUGAUAUUUUGAAAAGAAAAUUAAUCUCCAUAGUCUCAACCUUAGGAGGGUGAAUUUUGAGCAUUGCAUUUGUUGUCAUUGUUAGACAUUAUAAAGGAAGAAAAAAGAAAGAAAAAAGUUAAAAUGAGGGAAAUUAUUGAAAAAAAGAGAGAAGAGAAUAAUUAAUUUUUUUAAAAUUUUACAUGUCAAUCUAUUAUUGAUUAGAUUUUUUUAAUGAGUGUAACAUUUUGGUGUUAAAUGGAUAAUAAAAAAAUAUUUUAAGUAUCAUUUAUGAUAAAAAAUAUUUAGGUAUCAAUUUGAAAAAAAUAUGUAGCUUAGAUACUAAUUGAUGGGUUAAUUUUUUUAGCUUAAUAAUUUGAUUAAACCGAAAUACCAACUGAAAAAAAGUUUACUCGCCGCUUAUGAAAAAAAAUAAGUAUGAAUUUGUAAGUUAAAUCUCCCUAAAAGAAAAAAUAUAUCACAUUCAAUACGGGGUGAAUGAAGCAAUGAAUGCAAUGGGGUAUUACAACCAGCCACAUGUCAUUCAAUUCAUGUUAUAUCUACCUUGUUGGCCCCACAGGCGGUCUUUUCCAUUAUUUUCGAAGUGAACGACAUGAGUCGGACCUAUAUCGGCCCCAACAAACAACCUCAACCACUUGUUUUGUUAGGUUGUUGACUAAUUUGAAUAUGUCGGCUCAAAGCUUUUUGAAAAUUAAAUUAUUUUUUAUAUUAAUAUCAUAUAGGUAUAAAAAUUUAACGUUUUGUAAAAAAAAUAAAUUUAGUGUUAAAUUUAAAUAAUUAUAAAAAAUUAUACAAAAUACAAAGACAACUUAGAGUCAAUAAAAAAAAUAUGGAAAAUCAAUUCAUACAUUAAAUGGCAUAAAAAUAUUAUGAACACUAUACAAAUAUAUGAAUGUUUUUAUAUCUAUUUAAAAUAAGUUAUUAACGCUUAAACUUCAACCAAUUAAAUAUUAAUUUAACUAUAAACUAUAAAAAAUUAAAAUUUCAUUUGCCCUAAACAAUUAUUCUAAUUUCGCCCCUGUAUAAAAUAGUUCUAAUAUUAAAAAAAAAGUUAUACGAAUAUGGAGUGUUAAAAAAAAAGGCUUUCAACUUUUAAUAUUCCAAACAAAUAAAAGAAAUAAUAAUAACAGUUUACAAGUGCAAUAAAAGUAAUACAUAUUUGAUGAAUUAAAAAUAGAAUAAAUAUAACUAACUAUAACAGAAAUAUAUUUAGAUUUAAACCAAAUUUUUUUGAAGAUGAAAUUUGAACUCACAAAUAAUAUUUAUAAAUGAUGAGCCUAAUGAUGAUAUGUUUUAGAACAUGUAUAUUUUAAUUUCAUUUGAUAUUUAAAUUAAUGAAUGAAAUGAGUAUAUUAGCAUAAAUAUAUUGAAUUUCUAGAUUUAUUAAAAAUCCAACUAAAUAGAGUAGAUCCAUAAAUUUAAAAAAUGAUUAUGGAUUUUGAAAUAUAAAUCUAAAAUUUAAAAUCUGAAACCCUCCUAAAUGUUUUCCAAAGUAAGGCGGGGAUAAAUGGUAUAGGGAAGACGGUGGGUAGAUAGAUGUACGGUUUAUUUAUAACUUCGUUUUUAUUAGUCGGCUUACAGUUUCAUAAAAAGCAUCCGUGCAAGGCAUGUUCAAAUGCUGCACUAGCAUACCACUACUAUAAAAAAAACACAUACAAGAGCACCACAAAUUUAUCCCAAAAUACAUUAAAUAAAUGACUCCUAAGGGUGCCAGAUUUAACUAGUGUGUCUGGGAUUGUAUUAGCCUCUCUGAGGCCAUGUGAAAAAAUUUAAUGUUAUUGUUAUAUUUCCAUCUCGAUACGUUGCAAGACAUGAAGCAAUCUGUAAACAACUCUCUUUUGGAAGCAGUUUGCAUACGACUCUUCGCUAAGAACCAUUUGUUGUGAUCUUUCGCUUAGGAUUGCUCACAAAUGACCCCCAUGCACCCUAUCUCUCUCCCUCCUUAACUCAUCAUCUUGAACUCUCAUCCUAUCAUAGGUGAAUCGAGACUCUUCUCCUCCACCCUUUCCUCGUUGGUUACUUGUAGCAAAAAAAAUUAAUUUCACCGAAAAUGUUGGAGAGAUCCCAUGGUCUAAGUGUGUUGUUAGAGCAAAGCUCGAUGGCAAAUUUGGAGUCAAAUUUUAGAAUAAACCCUUUAAAAUCCAUUACACCGUAAAGGAAAAUUUUUACAAUUACAUUAACAAUAAAUAUUCAAAAUUUACUCAUCUAUCUAUACUUAUAUUAAGCCUUAUUUGAGUUGGAGUCAAGAGUCAACUAGGUACUAACUCAGUUGAGAAUUUACUAAAUAAUUUUAAUAUAAAGUAAAAAAAAUAUUAAUACGAGGGUGUUUUUAUCUUUUCAUAUUUUUAAAUAAAAAAAUACUAUAAUAAGAUUUAAACUUAAGUUUAAAAUUUCAAUCAAAACAUCACUUAAAUUUAAAAUAACAUUUUUAUAUAAAAUGUGUUUAGAUUCUAAGAUAAUGAAAUUUAUGAUGAGGUAUUCAAAAUGUGUUUGAAUAUGCUAAUGAGAUAUUCAAAUUGGUAUGCACAUUCCUAAUCAGGGAGCAUUAAUGAUAAUUUAGUAAAAUAAAUUAUCUCAUUAGCAUAUAGUUUAUUAUAAAAUUAUUGUGUAAAAUAAACAAUUCACAAACUUAAGAAUUUAUAACACAAAAAUUAUACAUCAAUGUUGUUAGAAUUGUAUUAUAUCCAUCGGUUGAAUUUAAAUUUAAAAAUUUAAUCAGCGAUAAUAAUUAAAAUCGUUUCAAACUAGUAAAAUAUUGAAAAUUAAGAACUAAUAAAAUAGAUUCUAAUUAUUUUUAUUUAAAAAAUGUUACCUUCUUAUUCAGGUUACAUUAAGACAAACCCAUCUUAAUUGUAAGUAUCAUAUUGUGAAUGGUAAACUUCUUACACAACAUCCACCAUUUGUCCAAAUAUGUUAAAUUAGGUGCAACAUAGAAAUUUUAUUGUAAGGAGUGAAUCUCAUUGUUUUUAUUUUCAUCAAACAUACGUCUAACUUUAUUAUUACGGGAUUAGAACUUAAAUUUGAUAAAUUGUGGUGAUUUCUUUUCGUUAAAUUUACCUAAAUCAACCUAACACUCGAAAAGUGAGAAUUCUCCUAAAAAUUCUUUAUGUUAGCAAAAAAUAUAGUGGAAGUAACUUGAAACGAAAGAGCAAUGAGAGAAUUGAAAAGACACAAGAAAAUAAUGCAUACAAGGUGUUUGAGUAAAUGCUCUCAAUAAAUUCUUUAACUCAAGAAGGAAUGAAGUACAACCAGUAUCUAGCCCCCCUAAAAUAGAAAAUUUUCCAUUUAUAUACCUUUAUAAUUUAUAAAAUUUAAAAUUUUACUUUCCCAUAAAAUGAUAAAAAAUUGAUUUAUUUCUUUAAAAAUUAUAAAGAUGACUAUUAAAAUAGUAAAAUUGUAUUUUUAUUAUUGUAAAAAUAUACAAUUUAAUUCUGUCUCCCAAAUUUUUUUUUUGGUUUCAUCCCUAAGUACAAUGAUCAUUGUAGCAGGAUACACAGGCAUUGUAGCAGGAUACAUAGGCAUUCUAGCACAGAAUGCAAAUAUGUUGCAAAUUAACUUCGAGUCAUGGCAUAAAGUGCCCGAGAGUAACAAGAACCAAGCUCUCGAUAACAUUAAGGUAACAAAAUGUGUAUAUCAUUUAUAAUACUUGAGUUUAAGUUUCGUUUACAUUUACUUUCUGAAGUUGUGUUUUUUGUAGGGGAGAUUUGCUCUAGAGGUCUCCGAUGCUUAUGUAAAGAAGGCAUUGGGAAAAAGAUGGAGAGACCAUAAGAGCACUUUAAAGAAAGACUAUUUUAAGACAAAAACAACACUCGACGAGAGAUUACAAAAUGUCACGCCGGGAAUGCUGAGGUACCAGUGGGAAGAAGUCGUUAGAUUUUGGACUUCGAAGAAAGGAGAGGUAUGUGUUACUACAAAAAUCUUGUAAUUAUUUUGGUUUAUAGUAUUUACUAAUUAACGUACUAAUAAUUUCAUAACGUAGGAUCGUGAACGAGUUGGAACAAGUAGUAGGCAGAAACAAAAAUUCACGCACACAGCUGGGUCGAGAAGUUUUGCGUGUGUAGCUCAGGCCGAGGUAUUUUGAAUUUUUUAAUACUGGCAGAUAUUUAUUACUUUCUAUCAAAUAAUAUUUUUACUAUUGUAUUGUAGGAAGUGUUGUCGGGUCAAAAAGUUGGACGCCUUCAACUUUUUGACAUUACACAUAGGAAGAAAGAUGGAAACCCUAUGACUCCUGAAGCUGCAGAAAUUAUGGUACGUUUGCUUAAUACAAUUUGACUUGUUUUAAUUAUUUAUACUGUUUAUUUUCUAAUGGUUUUUAUUACAUUUCUUAUAAUGCAAAUAUUGUUAAGUUAUGUUGCAUUUGUUUUGUUAAUAUAUGUUGCGUUCUUAACUAUGUGAUUUAUUUUUUAGGAAAAACUGAAGGAUAAAAAGGCGAAGUACGAAGCGAUUGCUUCCAGUGAUAGUUCUGUUCAUAUUUACGACAUUGAUAAUCGGAUUAUCAUUGAAGUUUUGGGUCCUGAAAGGUAUGAUCGGGUUCGAUUUCAAGGAUCUUUUGUUAACCCAUCCCAAUAUUUUGGAUCCAGCUCGCAACAAUACAUGCAUUCGGGGAGUCAGGCUCAAGCUGAAGUUAGAGGUUAAGAGACCAGAUAGCUUAGAUGCAAGCGGCAACGAGUGAGCAAAUUACACAACUUAAAGCGGAGGCAACAUCGAGAGAAGCCAAGGUUCAAAAAAGAUAUGAAGAACUCCAGCUACAACUUAAAGCAGAUGCGGCAGCGAGAGAAGCAGAGGCAGCAGCGAGAGAAGCUGAGGUUCAACGAAAGUAUGAGCAACUGCAGUAGCAGCUUAAAGAAGAUGCGGCAACGAGAGAAGCAGCGGCUGCAGCGAGGGAAGUAGAGGCUGCAGCGAGGGAAUCAGAACAGCAUAAAAAGUUCGAUGAACUCCAGCAGCAGCUUCAGAAUAUGAUGAAGAUGUUUCAGCAGUCGCAACCGCCGUCAUCUUAGACUAUCGUUUAAAUAUACUUCAAUUUUGACUUUGGUAUUAUUAUUUUAACUUUUACAAUUUCUGUCAGAAUAAUACGAAUUUUAUUUUAUUUAUUGACAUUUAUUUUAAAUAUUAUAUAGAUUUGGUUAGAUUUGGUUGGUUGGAUUUGGUUUCUUCUGAUUUGUUUUUAUAGGAGGGGGGCUGAAAAUUUUUUUUUCAAAUCUGCCAAAAUUAGCGGCGUUUUUUUGGAUAAGCGCCGCUAAAGACCAUCGUCUAUAGUGGCGUUUUUUGGCUAAGCGCCGCUAAAGACCAUGGUCUAUAGUGGCGUUUUUCGGCUAAGCACCGCUAAAGACCAUGGUCUAUAGUGGCGUUUUUUGUCUAAGCGCCGCUAAAGACCAUGGUGUAUAGUGGCAUUUUAUGGCUAAGCGCCGCUAAAGACCAUGGUGUAUAGUGGCGUUUUUUGGCUAAGCGCCGCUAAAGACCAUGGUCUAUAGUGGCGUUUUUUGUCUAAGCCCCGCUGAAAACCAUGGUCUAUAGUGGCGUUUUUUGGCUAAGCGUCGCUAAAGACCAUGGUCUAUAGUGGCGUUUUGUGGCUAAGCGCCGCUAAAGACCAUGAUCUAUAGUGGCAUUUUUCGGCUAAGCGCCGCUAAAGACCAUGGUCUAUAGUGGCGUUUUUUAGGCUAAGCGCUGCUAAAGACCAUGGUCUAUAGCGGCGUUGCAAAGAAAACGCCGCGAAAGGUCUUGAUCUUUAGCGGCGUUUAUUAUAAAAAGCGCCGCUAAAGUUACCGACACUGUCAUUAGCGGCGAUCUUUGCGGCGCUUCGUAAAGCGCCGCUAAAAGUAUUUGCGGCGCUAAAAAACGCCGCUAUAGACCUAAAAAAGCGCCGCUAAAACCCUGUUUUGGUGUAGUGUGAGAUGAUUACAAAUGAAGGGGGAGAUCUCUAUUUAUAGUUGAGCUCCCCUAGAUCCAAUAGUAUAGAUUGAAUUACAUCAACGAUUGAGAUUAGUACUUAUCUACAAGAUGAGUCUUAAGGGUUUUAAACUCUAUACAUCUUUAUCCCUUAGGAUUUACAUUAAUUACUCUGGUAACUCUAGUUUUACUGGAGAGUUUCACUGAACCACCAAAGGUUUAAGUAGAUGAGCUUCUCCAUAUGUUCCACGAGUUGGACAAGUUCAAGCGGAUCAAAUGAGCCCAAUUUAAUUAGUUAAUCUCAAUAAAACGUUCUAUGCGCAAUGAUCAUGAACUUUGAUCUACAUCUCAAAAUGAUCAGAUGAAUAAUCUCUCUUAAUUAUAUUUUUAUAAAACUUGAUAUUUUCAUUUAAAAAGAAACACAAUCACAUAUAAUAAUGUCUCCAAAAGAGUCGUCCACUUCAAAGAUUUAAAGUAAUGUAAGAAUGAACCCAACAUUUUUCAAUUAAAAAUAUGUCGAUAGAUAUAGCAAGUUGUAUAACCUUUCAAUUACAAAACAGAUUUCAAUGGGGAUUGCAUCCGGUACAUGCAACUAAAGAACAGAACCGGUGCAUAAAUUGAUUUAAUUAAACUUUGGGUUGAGUAAUCAUGAUUUUCAUUAUUAUUAGACUACGUGAAUGUUGAUAUAAAAUGCUUGAGAGAAGGGUAUAGAAGAAACACAAAAUAAUGAGUGAUAUUAAUUUGUAGAUAAAGAUAAUAUUACAUAGUCGCAAAAAGCGACCUAGUACACAACGCACAACUCUAAAUUAGGAUAACUCCUCUGCUAUCCCUAUGGAUGGAUUUUAACAUCCAUAUUUAUUCUGUAGCUAUCGUUAUUUUGGCUUCCACUAGCUGGUGAACUUUCCAUGCCAAAACUUCACUUAACCCUGCAAAUGAAACAACAAAAAACACAACAUUAAAUGUUGAGCAAUUAAUAAGCAUAAGCAAUGAAACAACUCAUACGAACCUGCUGCAGUCAGUGCUAGGGCUGAUCUUGUAAGGGAUGUUGACACCGCACUUGCCUGGGAGUCCGCUUGCAAUACCAUAGUUGAUGCCAGGAAUGCCGGCGGCCGCACUUUUGAUGCAUUUGCAAGCUGCUUGCCGGUCUGGUGUUGUUUGGGCGGCGGAGUUGAGAGAUUUGAUGCCGCUGCAGCAACCUUGGGGAACGGCACCAGCACCAUUCCCUCUCAAGUAAUUAAUGCAGGGUGCGAGGGAGCCUGUGACUUGACCACAGGUUACGGUCCCUUGAGCCAGGGGUGCACCCACCACCAUGCACAACACCACCACACAUGCAAGCUUAAGGGACAUUGAGCUAGCCAUAUCGAUUAAUUACAAGAAAAACAAACUUGUAAGGAAAAUGCUUGCUUGGAGUAGUAGUAGUAUUGCUGAUUGUUGCGUGGUUAGGGCCCGAGGGUAGGAGGGUUUUUAUAGCCAAAAGUUUUGUGAAGGGAUAUGGAACGAACUGAGAAACACGUACGAAUAGAAUAUGGUUAGGCGUUGGUAGUUGUCCCAAUUCAAUGCCAAGGUUUCUUUUUUUCUUUUUCAUGUUUCAGCUUAUGGUUGAGUGUGUUUAAUGCUUUGAAAAAGGUUUGUAUCUACCACUUUCAUCUUCAUCACUAAUGCUGAAUUACUCCGUUGAUUAAUGCAUCAUAUUAGCCUUGUCCUAGUGUUACCGGUUUUCUGAUAUUAGUAGCUUUACCAAUAAAAGAUGCUAUCAAAUAUAGUUUUCAGGAUGAUAUUAAAAAUUAAGGUUUUUUAGUUACAAAUAAAAUUGUCACAUUAUCAAAUUUUAAAGAUAUGAAAUUAUUAUUAUAAACUCAUCUAUAGAGAAAUUAUUUUAUGAGCCCUUUCCACCACAUUAUUCACAGUCCAUUUUCAAUUAUUUAAUAAUAUUUCAACAAUAUUUUCCAUGUCAUUGACACAUAAUUUUAAUAAUUUUUUUACCCUGAACCUUGAGUCUAGAAUCCCAAACCCUAAAUAAAAAACUUAAAACCCCAAACUAUAACCCCAAACACUUGCAUCAUAAACUCGAACCGCGAACCUCAAACUCAUAAUCUGUAACCUUGAACCCAAACUUGUAAUCUCGAACCCUUGAACCCUGAACCUAAACCUUGAACCCUGAACUCAAAGCCCAAAACCAAAACUGAACCCUGAACCUUAAAUCUCAAACCCAAACCUUAAACCUCGAGGUUUGGGUUCAAGGUUCAAGGUUCAGGGUUUGAGUUCAAGGUUCGAGGUUUAGGAUAAAAUAAUUACCAAAAUUUGUAACAGAAUAAAAGAGUUCGUUUAUAAUUUAAAAAGCAAUUAUUUUAAGUAAUUUAAUUAAAGUGAAAUUAAGUUGGAGAAAAUAUUAGAUAUAGAUGAGUGUAUAAUAAUACUUUAUUGUCUUUAAAAUUUAAUGACGUGGUACUAUUUUAUUGGUGCCUCAAACUAUACUUUUUAGAAUAAUCCUAAUACAAUUUAUUCCCAUAUUAAAUACGUAUGCUUUCUAUAUUUUUUCGAAAAAAUAAAUUUUAUUCAUAAACUUUCUAUAUAUAAAUAUAUGUUUUAUUUAAAAUUUAUAAAUACAGAAAAAUUAAAAUAUAAAUAUAUGUCAAAGUAGCUAUUAAGUGUAGAAUUAAACAAUUAUAACAUAUAAAUAGAUUAAAAAUUAGGACAAAAAAUCAAUCUAUUACAUAAAAUAUAAAUUAUGAAUGAAAACAAUCUAAAUUAUAGUCUGGCUAAUCAAACUAAAACUUACAUAUAACCAUAUGACUUUAAGGGUCUUGAAUAUGGUUACUUAAAAGCUUAUAGUUCAGCUUUUACCCACUACGUCAAGGCUUCAUUUACGUUUUUUUUAACCAUAUAUUUUUCAUAUAAUUAUAUAUAUAUAUUUUGCAUAAAAAAUCCCCAAGACGUUAAUUACUUCUAUAUAAUGUAGCGAUUAAGUCCUCAAACAAAAAUUGCUCAACAUCAAUGCAUGUAUAGAUCAAUUUUAUAUAUCAAAGACCAAUACUAUCUUUUUCUUAAAAAAAAAAAAAACCAAUAUGUUGUGAUUGCUUAGCUAUUGUUCCUAAGUCUUCCUGAAAAAGGUUUCACAGUCUUCCUGAAAAAGGUUUCACAGCGAGAGGAGAAAAAAAAAAGUUGAACUUGUCUUGGUUUGCCCCAUAAUGAUUGAAGCAUAGACAAGAUUAUAAAUGUUAAUUUAGUAUACGACAUAAUAAUAUAAUAUAAUAUAUUUAAAUGUAUAUCUCCUCACCUCCUAGACGCUGUCAGUUAUUUUAUUUUUUGGGAUUUUUUUAACAAAAGGUUGAGCUUUUUAUUAGGUUUUAUUUGAUUUUUCAUUUAUUAAAUAUAAUUUUUUUAUUUUUAUAUUUUUUAGUUAUUAUUAAUUUUUGUUGAAAAUUUGUACGGUCUUGUUCUAACAACAAUUAGAACAAGCUUUUUGGAACAAUCAAAAGUUUUGGGUGUAGGCAUGUUUGACUUUUAAUGGCUUAUGUUUUAAUAUUAGUUAACAAAAAGUGAUAAGAGAAUUUCAUGAUAAAUUAGAAUAUGGUUAUCAUCCAUUUGAUUAGUCUUGAUGAGGAAGGAGAGGAGUUUGAACUUUGGUGGACACCCAUCCUUAUCCUUGUCUUUUAGAGUGUUUGAAGCUAUUGGAGAACUUGGUUUUAAAGAUUUUAUUUGAUAAAUAUUCAAAAUAAUUAAUUUGAUAAUUUCAACUUUUAAAGGAGAGUUUAAAACUUAUCAAAACAUUAUUUGAUAAACACUUGUAGAGGCGUAUAAAUAGGCAACAGUGUGGUGUAACUUUGUUUGUUGUUUUGGAGUGUCUUAAACUUUUAUUUUUUUGCUAUUCCAUUGGGUAACUUUAUGACACUCUCUUUUUAGGUAUUAUUUGGAGAUGUUUAGUAAUUGUAUUGUGAGGAAUUUGAGUGAGUGAUUGCAUUGAAGAAAUGCGACCUAAAUGUAUAUGUUAAACUCUUAUCUAGGACAUAAAUUCCAUGAACAAGGUACCCAUGUUAAUAACAUGUCACCACUUCGCAUCUUUAUGGUAUUGACCCUAUGUAGUUAGACCCUAUAUGACGUAAACAACACUUAUAGUGUGCACGAUAUCGUAGGCUUGAACGUUGAUUGAAUGCAACCUAUAUUUUGGUGCCUUUGUCGGAAAUGAUGUAUGCAUCGGGUUGCGGUACAAAUGCCUUCUCAGGUUAGUUAAGAAGAAAUCCCAUUCAUCAUUGGAUUCUUCAGGAGUUAUUACAAAAGCUAUUGGCAGGAUUUUUAGGUUACCAUCUUAUGCAACAACUACUAACAACCGAUGGUCGCAUAUUCUAUACAGGAAUGUGCCGUUAAUUUGGAAAAGUGGCUUACAGUACCAAAAUGUAGUUCUGCAUUGCUUAAAAGUCCAAAAGCAACGGUGGAAAACUCCUUUUCCAGGGACCAAGCAAUCGUCAUAAUACGCAGGCUCCAUUUUUAACUUGGUUACAGAACCUAGUAUGUACCACUCUAGUAUCUAACACCAUUGCCACAAUUUAUAGUAGGAUUUCUCCCACCCUCUAUUCAUUUUCUCCAAUGCCUUCUAUUUUUGCAACUAUGUCUUGUGCUAGGACAUGGUGUAAUCGGAUUCUCUACAGAUGUGUGCGAUCAAAAUUGGGACCAGAAUCCUAGGACUUGCUUUUGCCAUGGGUAAUAGAAUUUUAGAUAUCAUGUCUAAAUCUAAUUUUGGAUGAUCAUUCGAUAUGCUUGAAAAACAAGAAAUCGAGUCACUAUGUGUAAUAGAAUGUAAAAAAAGGCUAGGAUUCGAGUCGAUGUUGUUAGCCAUAUUACAUACCAGCUACAACACAUGUAUGUGGCACGAUAAAUUUCCUACGUUUAAAAUGCCAACUUCUUCGUCAUAAAUGCCAUGAUUUUCCAUAGACAUCUUGUUGCACGCAUUGUGCGCAUCGCCUUAUAUUUCUCGGAUUGAGAGCAUGUAAUAGUGAAGUUGACACCAAAUUGUAUGCUAUACUACUUGAUUGUAGCUACAAAAGCAUAUUUGGAGUCAAACUCCAUCCCAACCUCUAAGUGGUCGAAAUUUGUUGAUGAAGUCGCAUACCUUAGUCUUCUACGGGGGAGGUCUGGGAAUUCUAAAACCACUUUCACUAGUAAGACUGAGAGUACGCAUAUGGGGUGGGGGUUUGUAUUUCGUGAAACUUAGGUCAUCCCCUCGAGCGAUGUCUAAAGCUUGACCAUUAGAUCCAUCGUCUUCUAGUUCAGUAGGAAUGGGAUCUAGUUCUAAAAUUACUACAAUUUCGCACCAUCCAGUCCAACCACCUCUCCUGGGUCAUUAUCUGAUUUAGACCCCUCUUUGACCACUUUGUUCUCUUGUCCCUCUUUGUUAUCAACCCUGGUUGUAAGUCCAGGGUUGGAUGUACCCUCUCCGGUCGAAGUUGUCAAGAGUAGAUCAUUCAUUCUUGUAAAUCCGAUGUCAAUCCCAAAACCAAUUCUGUUUGGCCUACCCAGUAACUUGAUGGUGUACCAUAUGAGUGUUAUCGAGGUUGAACAUAGGUGUGUCAAAGUUGAAACCAAAGGCACUGAUAGAAUGUUGUGCGGCUGUGUUGUAGGCCUGGUGACCGAAUACGUCUAACUAUCCCCCGAAGUUGAAAUCGAGGGAUGAAAUCGAUGAAUGCCUCACCAUUGAUGAUGUUAAUAAUGUGUCUUUGUAUAAGCUUUGUAGCAAUGAUCUGAAUCCACAACAAAACCGUGUGGCCAGACUUUUUGCUUCUUGAUUUGGCUAGAAAUUUGGCGGACACGGUAUAAUCGAGCUUGGGCCACCUUUUUCCUCUUCAGCAAAGACUGUAUAUUCUCACAAGAGUAAUGAGUUUCGAUCACUGUCUUCAAACCGUUGUCCCCUGUGAUCUGAAAAAUGGAAUAUCUAACGGGGUUAAAUGAUGUUAGAUAUCUACAUUUCAGGCUCAAAAUUCUUCUUCAGAUCCCUACUUUAUGCCUAAACCUUGUUCAAAGCUCUUUUAACGUUAUGCUCUAGUUGAAUGUCAGAUCUUUAGAUUGGGUUGAUACAAAAAUGGGCUCAAUUUCAGCCUCACAAUUUUGACCGUUGUAAUGGACAAUAGCUCUGGCUCGUCUCCUCAUCUUGAACCAAAUAUUCUAUUCCACAUGUUUAAAAUCGAGAAAAUUGUAAAAAUAUAGUUCUCAUCACCCAAAUCCCUAAAUUUACACUUACUUUAAUGAAAUACCUUUGCUUCGACAAUAUUGUCAGUAUAAAAUUUUUGUUUUUUACUACAACAUCGAUAACUCCUAAUGCCAACAAUCUGCUUCAAACAUCUGUAUGGAAAAUCCAAGAAUUAUAUUGAGUUUUUUUUAUAGAGCCUUUUCCUCGACGCACAUGAAACGAUUCUAGCAACAACACAUGUCAAGGCAUUAGUUGUUUUUGAGGUAUACACUAAAAAUUAAAAUUUGUGGGGGAGAAAACGUUCCCCGCAACGAUGUUUUUCAGCACCUAGACAUAGCAUUGAAAUUUAUCCUAGGAAUCCCGGGUUGUAGGGGCUUAGAGGUAGAAGCAAUCAAGUUGGCUUGGGUAUUGAAAGACCAUAAAGAAAAUGCCUCUUGCAGGAAGCAUUUCCACCUGACUUGGCAAUCAAAAUGCCUCCUGCAGGACGCGUUUUCCAGCCACAUCUCUGACAUGUUAGUUGAAAACGCAUCUUGCAAGAGGCGUUUGUACUGCCAUGUUAGGUAAAAACACUUCCUGCAGGGAACAUUUUCUUUAUGGCCAUUUCAACACCCAGGCCAACUUAAUUGCUUCUGCCUCUGAGCCCUUACAACACGGGAUUCUCGGGAUAAAAAAAUUUCCCUUUUUACCCCACCCCAUCCCUUAUAUAAAUGUAUGUUCUCAUCCCCUACUCACCCAUAUCUCAGUCUCCUUUAAAUUAUUUUUUUCUUUUUCUUCCGUGUUGAAAUUUUCAAGUUUAAAGAUUUAUUUCUCUCACACUUUGAGGGGGAUGUAAUCAUAGUUUUAAGUUGUGUUUGAGUUCACAAUAAUGUCGUGGCGCUUGAUAACUUACAAAUUUCACUUGUCGUGUGAGUAUGGAGCCAUCACUUGAGAAAUCGAGAUCGCUUUGCAACUCGAGGUCCAAGUUGACGGUGUAAAUAAGGCUUCAAGUUUACAAAGGUUAUGCUAUUAAAGGAUGGAGCAAAACCGGGACUGUAGUUGACGAUGGUGAUGCAAGCACAAGAACUAGUUUUUCCUCAUUGGAAGAGCAUACUUUAUAAAAUCCAUAUACAAGUACGAGGGAGAAAAUCACAGGGGUCUUCCAGUAUAAUCAAGUAAUUCAUUUUAUCCUUUUCCAGCAAAGGCAAUGACCCUGUUACUAAAACCUAUUACAUCCCCUUUCUAUCAUAGGUAAUAGUAACGGUGUCACCGUCUUUGGUGGAGAUGGAUAAAAAAAUUUACUUAAUUAUACUGAGAUACCAUUGCAUUUUUCUUCCUCGUACUUGUGUAUGAGUUUUAUAAAGCAUCAUUUUCUAAUGAAAAAAGUUUUUUGUCGUGCCCGCAUAACCAUUGUAAAUUACAGCUCCAAUCAUACUCCGUCCUUUGAUAGCGUAACAUUUUGUAAACUUGAAGCUCUAGUUACACUUCAAUUUCAGACCGUAUAAUCACCCUUAAUUGGGACCAUGAGUUGCAAUGCGAUCUGGCUUCUCGGGUGAUGGCUCCAUACUCACAUGACAAAUGAAAUUUGUAGGUCACCUAACUCCACGACACCACCAUAAAUUCAAACAUUCCUUAAAACUAUAACAGUGUCUAUCUCAAACAAGAAUGAAAAUAAAUGUUCAAACUUCUAAUUUCAAAUUGCAAGAAAAAAAAGAAAAAAAUAAAUUUUAGCAAAGUAAAAAUGGGUCCUACCGGCGCAUUUUCAUUGCCACAUCAAUGAAAAUACACCUCGUACGACACGUUAUUCUUUCUUCGUAAACAAUGUAAAUCAAUAAAUUUAAAAAAAAAUUAUACAUUCUCAAAUAACUCUUUUUUUCAGCAUUUUUGUUAAAUUUAUCCCAUAAUACUGCUACUUCUUGUUUCCUGGGUUAUUUUUAUUACUGCUGGUUGUACCACCCUCCUACUGUGCGCCGGUUAUAGCAACUCACUCAAGAUUCUAAAUACUAAUAUAAACACCAUUUCUUUUAUUCUUAGUUUUUUUAGUGAUUAACGUGGUUUUAAUUAUCGUUAGAUCACGUGGGUGUUUAUAUGAAAUGCUUGAAAUCGUCACGCAGGACAAAAAAAAAAAAAAGAAAAAGAAAAGGAAAUGAAGAGUAUAUAUAUAGAGGAAACAACUAGUGAGAGUGAUAUUAAUAUUUAGAGUAGGUAAAGAUAGUAUUAUAUAGUCGCAUAUGCGACCUUGUACAUUACCACUAACUCUAAAACUAGGAUAACUCCAACAAUGAAUAGUACCGCUAUGGAUUUUUAACAUUCAUUUUUAUUCUGUCGACAUCACUAUUUCCCUUCCAUUAGCUGAUCCCAACUUCCAUGACCACACUUCACUUAAUGCUGCAAAUGCAACCACACCAAACAAAACAUUCAUAAAUUAAUAAAUCAAUUGCCAUAAGCGAUAAACUUUGGGUCAUUUUCUUUUUCCGUAAUUUCAAAGAAACCUAGUUUAAAUUAGAUACGAACCUUUUGCAGUCAGUGGAAGGGCUGAUCUUGUAAGGGAUGUUGAUACCGCACUUGCCUGGGAGUCCGGCUGCAGUGCUAUAGUUGAUGCCAGAAAUGCCGGUGGCCGCACUUUUGAUGCAGCUGCAAGCUGCUUGCCGGUCUGGUGUUGUUUUGGCGGCAGAGUUGAGAGAUCUGAUGCCGUUGCAGCAAGCUGGGGGAGCAGAACCAGCACCAUUCCCUUUCAAGUAAGCAAUGCAGGGUGCGAGGGCGCUUGUGAUUUGACCACAACUUAUGGCCCCUUGAGCCAGGGGUGCACCCACCACCAUGCAAAACACCACCACACAUGUAAGCUUAAGGGACAUUGAGCUAGCCAUAUCAAUUAGUCACAAGAAACAAACUUGUAAGGAAAAUGCUCGCUUGGAGUAGUAGUACUAUUGCUGAUUGUUGCGU